GCAAGUCGAGCGGAAACGAUGGUAGCUUGCUACCAGGCGUCGAGCGGCGGACGGGUGAGUAACGCGUGAGAAUCUACCCAUGAGUGGGGGACAACCCGGGGAAACUCGGGCUAAUACCGCAUACGCCCUACGGGGUAAAGCAGGGGACCUUCGGGCCUUGCGCUGAUGGAUGAGCUCGCGUCGGAUUAGCUUGUUGGUGAGGUAAAGGCUCACCAAGGCGACGAUCCGUAGCUGGUCUGAGAGGAUGAUC
rnacentral:rRNA from 1 species